UGUUUUUCACCUCCGCCAAGCCCGUUUGGGACUCAUUAGGGAACUGGUAAGAGCAGGAAAAGAAAGUGAGAUGGCACUUAUGCGUUUUUCCAUACCCAAUUACCAACGUGUUAGAGCCAUUGAUAUUGAUGAGAUGUGAAAGAGACUUAUUAAACCUACUGAAAAAUAACGAGAUCAAUAAUUAAGGGCUUAGGCCGAUGUUCUAUAUAGCUCAGGCAAUUCUAAGUUUAGAAAUUACGGCCUGCAGCUCACAUGAAACAGAUCCAGGUUCUGUUCCCAAAAGGCAAGCAGCCUCUCGCCCCACGCUUCCUAUUCGACCCAUAGAUGUCGCCAAGCAAAGACACUGCUAUAAACAGCAAAAGCACUGAAAAUCUGGGAGCAGUAAGUCCCCAUGGUGGCUUAUACAGAAUGAAUGGGGUUGCAUCAAACGAAAGCGCAGAUGUUAAGUGUGGCGUUGUUACAUCAUGCGUACCCAUUACUGGCGCUAAAUUGCACUGCUUGGCCACAGUUUUAUGAUUGACAGCAUGAUACAUUUUUAGGAGAGAUGGAAGGCGAUAUGUAUGGAUAAAGCAAAAUACUGAGCAUGAAACAUGAAACAGAACACCUGUUGUGAAACACCGAAAAAAGAGAGUCUUAGUUUGCGGCUCUAUGGAAGCUAAUAGAGUUCGUAACCAUUGAAAGUAAAAUGACAGCUCUUAAGUGCAUCGACGUAUUGCGCUGUAAUUUAAAGGCAAGUGCUCAAACGGACGUCGCUUGUGUUGAGCAAGACAUUGACCCCAAACAUACAGCGCACGAAACACGAGAAUCAUUACUCUAUACAAAGUCGCCUGUUGAAAACACCAUCUCAGCCCUCUGACCUUAACCGAAUUGAAAAUCACCAGCUGGAUCAGGUUGUCAGAAAAUACAGAAUUUCGCCUAAAGAGGAGCUUAAGUGUAUACUCCUGCAAAAAUGGCAAAAGAUAUCCAAUGAUACGAGUAGGACAUGGCUUCAUCAAAGAAGAAUGGACCACGAGCCCUCAUAAAUGCAAAAGACAACCACAACCAACCUGGAGCAGUGAGGCCAUACGCAAAUGGAGAGAUGGAAAACAUCAAGCCAAUAAAUAUACUAUCCAAAUGGAACUAAGAACAAAGAGAUAUAGAAAGUGUUUUACUCCAAUAUUUAAUUAAUAAUAAUGUUUUACUAAGCAAUUUCUGUAAUAAAACUGUUGCUUAGAAGUGAUUUAUCACUUAAACAAUUUAUGUAAUAAAUAUUUAUUGCUUUAUUGGUAUUCAUGUAAGAUGC